rnacentral:tmRNA from 1 species
GGGGGCGUAAAGGCUUCGACAGGGUUUAUGAAGUAAGUAUAGCGAGUAGAGGGUUGACUCUUUAACCACAAAGUUUAUUAAAUUAAACGACAAACAAGAACAAUAUCUGUUAGCUGCCUAAGCAGCUGACCGUGAACGACAAGAUUUCCUGCGGCUUGUUAAGUAGCGUCGAUUAAGCAGGACAACGCCUUUAAAAUGCCGUCUGAGUUUUAAAGGUGUAUUUCAGACUAUAUUGUUUGACAGCCCGUUGCUCGGCGUUCUUUCAAUGAAUUUAAAUUUGCAACUACACUCGUAGAAGUAUUUAUGGAUUGGAUUUUGGACACGAGUUCAAUUCUCGUCGCCUCCAGAA